GUCAGUGUGGUGUAGUGGUUUGAGUGUUGGACUAUGACUCUGGAGAUCAGGGUUCAAUUCCACACACAGCCA
rnacentral:tRNA from 1 species